GUCUACAGCCAUGCCACCCUGAGCAAGCCCAAUGUCUGAUCUUGGAAGCUAAGCAGGGUCAGGCCUGGUUAGUACUUGGAUGGGAGACCACCUAGGAAGACCAGGUGCUGUAGGUG
rnacentral:rRNA from 1 species